UAUACAAUGGAGAGUUUGAUCCUGGCUCAGGAUGAACGCUAGCGGCAGGCCUAAUACAUGCAAGUCGAACGGUGUCGCAAGACAUAGUGGCGCACGGGUGCGUAACACGUAGGUAACCUACCUUUUACUGGGGCAUAACGAUGGGAAACCAUCGCUAAUUCCGCAUGAUACAGUUAGCUGGCAUCAGCAGGCUGUUAAAGAUUCAUUGGUAAAAGAUGGGCCUGCGGCUGAUUAGCUAGUUGGCGGUGUAACGGACCACCAAGGCUGUGAUCAGUAGGGGUUCUGAGAGGAAGAUCCCCCACACUGGCACUGAGAUACGGGCCAGACUCCUACGGGAGGCAGCAGUAGGGAAUAUUGGGCAAUGGCGGAAACGCUGACCCAGCCAUGCCGC
rnacentral:rRNA from 1 species